rnacentral:lncRNA from 1 species
UUCAUUCUUAAAACAUUUUAAUUAACAUGGACAAAAUAAAGGCCGUUGGGAUCAAGCAUUCUGGCGUAACCCUUUGAACAUUUGAUUUUCAUCAAGUGUUCGUUGUCCAUUAAAUAAUUUUCUUAAAUAAUGCGAAUGAAAAAGGACCAUUGGAAUCUAGCAUUCCAAUGGAACCCCGAGUGAUUGAUCCCGAGGCUCAUGUCUCGUUCUCAUCAAAUAUUCGUCUUCCAAACUCAAAAUACUUAAUUCCUA